GACGAACGCUGGCGGCGUGCCUAAUACAUGCAAGUUGAGCGCUGAAGGUUGGUACUUGUACCAACUGGAUGAGCAGCGAACGGGUGAGUAACGCGUGGGGAAUCUGCCUUUGAGCGGGGGACAACAUUUGGAAACGAAUGCUAAUACCGCAUAAAAACUUUAAACACAAGUUUUAAGUUUGAAAGAUGCAAUUGCAUCACUCAAAGAUGAUCCCGCGUUGUAUUAGCUAGUUGGUGAGGUAAAGGCUCACCAAGGCGAUGAUACAUAGCCGAACUGAGAGGGUGGUCGGACACAUUGGGACUGAGACACCGCCCAAACUCCUACGGGAGGCAACAGUAGGGAAUCUUCGGCAAUGGAAGAAAGUCUGACCGAGCAACGCCGCGUGAGUGAAGAAGGUUUUCGGAUCGUAAAACUCUGUUGGUAGAGAAGAACGUUGGUGAGAGUGGAAAGCUCAUCAAGUGACGGUAACUACCCAGAAAGGGACGGCUAACUACGUG
rnacentral:rRNA from 1 species